UACGUAGGGUGCAAGCGUUGUCCGGAAUUAUUGGGCGUAAAGAGCUCGUAGGCGGUCUGUCGCGUCGGCUGUGAAAACUCGGGGCUCAACCCCGAGCCUGCAGUCGAUACGGGCAGACUAGAGUGCUGUAGGGGAGACUGGAAUUCCUGGUGUAGCGGUGAAAUGCGCAGAUAUCAGGAGGAACACCGGUGGCGAAGGCGGGUCUCUGGGCAGUAACUGACGCUGAGGAGCGAAAGCGUGGGGAGCAAACGG
rnacentral:rRNA from 1 species